rnacentral:rRNA from 1 species
UUUUCAGCAGGGAAGAAGCGCAAGUGACGGUACCNUGCAGAAGAAGUACCGGCUAACUACGUGCCAGCAGCCGCGGUAAUACGUAGGGUACGAGCGUUGUCCGGAAUUAUUGGGCGUAAAGAGCUCGUAGGUGGUUGGUCACGUCUGCUGUGGAAACGCAACGCUUAACGUUGCGCGUGCAGUGGGUACGGGCUGACUAGAGUGCAGUAGGGGAGUCUGGAAUUCCUGGUGUAGCGGUGAAAUGCGCAGAUAUCAGGAGGAACACCGGUGGCGAAGGCGGGACUCUGGGCUGUAACUGACACUGAGGAGCGAAAGCAUGGGGAGCGAACAGGAUUAGAUACCCUGGUAGUCCAUGCCGUAAACGUUGGGCAUAUAGGUGUGGGGG